GACGAACGCUGGCGGCGUGCCUAAUACAUGCAAGUCGAACGCUGAAGAGAGGAGCUUGCUCUUCUUGGAUGAGUUGCGAACGGGUGAGUAACGCGUAGGUAACCUGCCUUGUAGCGGGGGAUAACUAUUGGAAACGAUAGCUAAUACCGCAUAACAAUGGGUGACACAUGUCAUUUAUUUGAAAGUGGCAAUUUCUCCACUACAAGAUGGACCUGCGUUGUAUUAGCUAGUAGGUGAGGUAAUGGCUCACCUAUGGGACGAUACAUAGCCGACCUGAGAGGGUGAGCGGCAAAGCUGGGACUGGGACACGGCCCAGAACACUGCGAGUGGGAGAAGGAGGGGAUUUUCGGGGAUGGGGGCAACGCUGAACGUGCAACGACGCGUGAGUGAAGAAGGUUGUCGGAUCGUAAAGCUCAGUUGUAAGUUAAGAACGGGAGUGAGAGUGGAAAGUGCACAUUGUGACGGUAGCUGAACAGAAAGGGACGGCUAACUACGUG
rnacentral:rRNA from 1 species